UCCACUCGAGCGAUACGGGCC
rnacentral:siRNA from 1 species